GAGUUUGAUCUUGGCUCAGAACGAACGCUGGCGGCAGGCUUAACACAUGCAAGUCGAACGCGUGUAGCAAUACACGAGUGGCGCACGGGUGAGUAACACGUGGAUAUCUGCCUUUUGGUUCGGAAUAACCCUGGGAAACUAGGGCUAAUACCGAAUGGUUCCUACGGGAUAAAGAUUUAUCGCCAAAAGAUGAGUCCGCGCCCGAUUAGCUAGUUGGUGAGGUAAUGGCUCACCAAGGCGACGAUCGGUAGCUGGUCUGAGAGGACGAUCAGCCACACUGGGACUGAGACACGGCCCAGACUCCUACGGGAGGCAGCAGUGGGGAAUAUUGGACAAUGGGGGCAACCCUGAUCCAGCCAUGCCGCGUGAGUGAUGAAGGCCUUC
rnacentral:rRNA from 1 species